rnacentral:rRNA from 1 species
AUUGAACGCUGGCGGCAUGCUUUACACAUGCAAGUCGAACGGCAGCGCGGGCUUCGGCCUGGCGGCGAGUGGCGAACGGGUGAGUAAUGCAUCGGAACGUGCCCAGUAGUGGGGGAUAGCCCGGCGAAAGCCGGAUUAAUACCGCAUACGACCUGAGGGUGAAAGCGGGGGACCGAAAGGCCUCGCGCUAUUGGAGCGGCCGAUGUCGGAUUAGCGAGGUGGUGGGGUAAAGGCUUACCAAGGCGACGAUCCGUAGCUGGUCUGAGGGGACGACCAGCCAACAGGGGCUGGAGCAACGCCCCAGCUCCCUUGGGGGGGAAGGAGGGGGAAAUUUGGGCAAAGGGGGGAAACCCUGACCCGCCCAGUCCGCGGGGGGGAAGAAGGCUUUGGGUUUGAAAACCGCUUUUGUUCGGGAAGAAAUCCUUUGGGCUAAAACCCCGGGGGGAUGACGGUACCGGAAAAAUAAGCACCGGCUAACUACGU